GUGCCAGCAGCCGCGGUAAUACAGAGGUCCCAAGCGUUGUUCGGAUUCACUGGGCGUAAAGGGUGCGUAGGCGGUCGGGUAAGUCUGAUGUGAAAUCUCGGAGCUCAACUCCGAAACGGCAUCGGAUACUAUCCGGCUCGAGGUGUGGAGGGGGGACUGGAAUUCUCGGUGUAGCAGUGAAAUGCGUAGAUAUCGAGAGGAACACCAGUGGCGAAGGCGAGUCCCUGGACACUACCUGACGCUGAGGCACGAAAGCUAGGGGAGCAAACAGGAUUAGAAACCCGAGUAGUCC
rnacentral:rRNA from 1 species